rnacentral:rRNA from 1 species
AGCAGCCGCGGUAAUUCCAGCUCCAAUAGCGUAUAUUAAAGUUGUUGCAGUUAAAAAGCUCGUAGUUGAAUUUCGGGGUUCUUCCGUUGGUCAGGCUAACAAGUCUGUACUAGCGUGUAGAAUCUCUACCUUCUGGGGAACCAUCAUGUUAUUAAUUUAGCGUGGUGGGAAACCAGGACCUUUACCUUGAAAAAAUUAGAGUGUUCAAAGCAGGCUUACGUCUGAAUACAUUAGCAUGGAAUAAUAAAAUAGGACGGUGGUCCUGUUUUGUUGGUUUCUGAAUCACCGUAAUGAUUAAUAGGGAUAGUUGGGGGCAUUAGUAUUCAAUUGUCAGAGGUGAAAUUCUUGGAUUUAUUGAAGACUAACUUCUGCGAAAGCAUUUGCCAAGGAUGUUUUCAUUAAUCAAGAACGAAAGUUAGGGGAUCGAAGACGAUCAGAUACCGUCGUAGUCUUAACCAUAAACUAUGCCGACUAGGGAUCGGA